GCGGCGUGCCUAAUACAUGCAAGUCGAACGCUUCUUUCCUCCCUAGUGCUUGCGCUCAAUUGGAAAGAGGAGUGGCGGACGGGUGAGUAACACGUGGGUAACCUACCCAUCAUAGGGGGAUAACACUUGGAAACAGGUGCUAAUACCGCAUAACAGUUUAUGCCGCAUGGCAUAUGAGUGAAAGGCGCUUUCGGGUGUCGCUGAUGGAUGGACCCGCGGUGCAUUAGCUAGUUGGUGAGGUAACGGCUCACCAAGGCCACGAUGCAUAGCCGACCUGAGAGGGUGAUCGGCCACACUGGAGACUGACACACGGCCCAGACUCCUACGGGAGGCAGCAGUAGGGAAUCUUCGGCAAUGGACGAAAGUCUGACCGAGCAACGCCGCGUGAGUGAAGAAGGUUUUCGGAUCGUAAAACUCUGUUGUUACAGAAGAACAAGGACGUUAGUAACUGAACGUCCCCUGACGGUAUCUAACCAUAAAGCCACGGCUAACUACGUGCCAACAGCCGCGGUAAUACGUACGUGGCAAGCGUUGUCCGGAUUUAUUGGGCGUACAGCGAGCGCAGGCGGUUUCUUAAUUCUGAUGUGAAAGCCCCCGGCUCAACCGGGGAGGGUCAUUGUAAACUGGGAGACUUGAGUGCAGAAGAGGAGAGUGGAAUUCCAUGUGUAGCGAUGAAAUGCGUAGAUAUAUGGAGGAACACCAGUGACGAAGGCCGCUCUCUGGUCUGUAACUGACACUGAGGCUCGAAAGCGUGGGGAGCAAACAGGAUUAGAUACCCUGGUAGUCCACGCCGUAAACGAUGAGUGCUAAGUGUUGGAGGGUUUCCGCCCUUCAGUGCUGCAGCAAACGCAUUAAGCACUCCGCGUGGGGAGUACGACCGCAAGGUUGAUACUCAAAGGAAUUGACGGGGGCCCGCACAAGCGGUGGAGCAUGUGGUUUAAUUUGAAGCAACGAGAAGAUCCUUAGCAGGUCUCGACAUCCUUUGACCAUUCUAGAGAUAGAGCUUUCCUUUGGGGGACAAAGUGACAGGUGGUGCAUGGUUGUUGUCAGCUCGUGUCGUGAGAUGUUGGGUUAAGUCCCGCAGAGAGCGCACCCUUUAUUGUUAGUUGCCAUCAUUUAGUUGGGCACUCUAGCGAGACUGCCGGGGUCAACUCGGAGGAAGGUGGGGAUGACGUCAAAUCAUCAUGCCCCUUAUGUCCUGGGCUUCACACGUGCUACAAUGGGAAGUACAGAGAGUGGCUAGCCCGCGAGGUCAUGCAAAUCUCUUAAAGCUUCUCUCAGUUCGGAUUGCAGUCUGCAACUCGCCUGCAUGAAGCCGGAAUCGCUAGUAAUCGCGGAUCAGCACGCCGCGGGGAAUACGUUCCCGGGCCUUGUACACCCCCCCCGUCACACCACGAGAGUUUGUAACACCCGAAGUCGGUGAGGUAACCUUUUUGGAGCCAGCCGCCUAAGGUGGGAUAGAUGAUUGGG
rnacentral:rRNA from 1 species